rnacentral:lncRNA from 1 species
CAAUUAUCGUGCAUUAUUUUUAACACCUACAUAAAAUGUAAUUUCAUGCACAAUUUAAAAUUAUGUAAAACGUUAUUAUUUACUAUAAAAACGUCAAAUUUGACAUAAUGAUGCUGAUUACUAGAUGAAAAAACUGAUGAAAACGACUUUAAUGUCAAUUGUUUCACCUCAAAGAUCAAAAGACUACAAAAAAAACUCCGUCGCCUGCAAUAUAUGUUCUACUGUUAAUGUGCACGCAUGACCUCCAGACGCUGUUAAUGUGCACGCAUGACCUCCAGACGCUUCAUCACAUGCAUAUGCACCA